GUAUCCAGUGGGGUCACCCCGGCUCCAAUUCAGGAGAGCCACAGGUAGUAAUAGAAAAAAAAAAUUGCAGGAGAAAAGCUGUCUGCUGCUUAUUUCCCCCUGUGCUGCCAGCUGCCCAUGGAGGGACAGGUGACCAGGUGGUCAACAGGUGGGCACAUGCCCAGCAUACUGAUGAAUGUCUAAGGCAGGAAAAAGCAAAGGAGAAGCAAGUUCACGCAUUAAACGAGUAUUUAUUUAGCACUCGCACUGAGAAUUCAGCAGUGAAGACACUGAACACAGUCCCUGCUGUCACAGGCUCCCUUCCGAGGUCCCAGGACACAGAUCAUCUCAUAGAGACCCUCAGGAUCAUCUUGUCCAGCCAGACUCCCAGGUGAAAAAUGGGGAAACUGAAACCCAGAGAGAGGCAGGGGCCAGCCGCAGUCCUCAGGGAGAUAGCGGCAAGCAAGUCUUAUGCCUGGUCUAGGAAGCCCAGCCUGAGCAGAGGACACACCCAAGGCCCUAUAUCUCUGGUCGGAAAGCAGCCAUCUCUCUGUGGGAAGAAGGGUGGGGCAUCGCCCACUGCCUGCUUCUCUGAUUGGCUGGAAACCAAGCCUGACCUCAGCCCAGGGCAGUCAGAAGGUGCACCCUUUCUGCCCAGAGACUACUUAAAGGCUCAGCAGGGCAUGAGCCAUCCCUGGAUGCGGGUGUCUCACUCCAGGGUCAGGCUGGGGAUGAGACUUGGCAAGUUCCAAGGAUUUCUCUGACAGCCCCUCCAGGCAUCCCAGGAAAGCAGAAAUAGGUACCUCAGGGAGAUAGGAGAUUUUCCUCCUACCCCCAAGCCAGAGUCUGGCCCAGAGAGAAGGCGCGCCGGAUGCAGCCCAUAGGCGAAGUCACCUUGCCUCUCUGCACCUUUCACAGAGGUUGUUAGUUUUGGAAACUAAAGGCUGAGAAAACCCUUUGCCGGCUGCUUGGAAGGCCUGAGACCUCUUGACAGAGGCCUGAAGGCCAGUGAGGCAGAAGCAGCAACCAGGCCACCAGCUUCCACCGCCAGGGACCAAAGAGAGGUGGGAAGGAGACUGACUGUUCCCAGGACGUGGGGGAUCUGGCAGCUAAUGGUUUGGGUGUCAGGGUGAACUUAAACCACAGCAUGAGAGACUAUGGUUAGGCGUGAGGACAAUCUUUCUGACCUUAAUGACUGUAUGGCAUUUGCCAUGCUGCCCACAGAGGUUAAGAAAUGGGUUUCUGUCGGGUGCAGCAGUUCACUCCUAUAAUCCCAGCUACUCGGGAGGCUGAGGUAGGAGGAUCACUUGAGGCCAGGAGCUGAGACCAGCCUGGGCAACAGAGCGAGACUUGGCCUCUUAAAAAAAAUAAAAAGAAAAAAA
rnacentral:lncRNA from 1 species